CACGUAGGGCGCAAGCGUUGUCCGGAAUUAUUGGGCGUAAAGAGCUCGUAGGUGGUUUGUUACGUCUGCUGUGAAAACCUAGGGCUUAACCCUGGGCUUGCAGUGGAUACGGGCAGACUAGAGGUAGGUAGGGGAGAAUGGAAUUCCUGGUGUAGCGGUGAAAUGCGCAGAUAUCAGGAGGAACACCGGUGGCGAAGGCGGUUCUCUGGGCCUUACCUGACACUGAGGAGUGAAAGCGUGGGGAGCGAACAGG
rnacentral:rRNA from 1 species